UUCAAUGCCAGAUCUAGAUCUAUGAGACUGCCUCACUCCUUUAACUAUUAAGAACAUUAUUGCAAGCCAGUGAUCACUGGAAACUGAACUUUCCUAAUAGCACGUGAAUGAAACUUGGAACUGCAUAAUUCACCAUUAUAUAUUUGUGUUAACGAUUACUUUUUUUUUUUUUUUGUCCCCGUUAUCUUCGUACACGACUCUUGGAAUAGAGCUUUUGUGAAUCAAAUAUGUUGUUUUAUCAUGAUUCGAAAGUAUCAGAAAAGAAGACAAAAGCAUGAUAACAUGGAUGAAAUAAAAGCGAACGAAAAAAAAAACAAUAAAUCAAUUACAUAUGACAAAUAAUAAUGGUUAAAAAAGGAGGAAACAGUAGUAAAAGAAAAAAGAAAAAACGAGAAUAGGAAUCAGAUGCAUUUUAUGAAAUGCUUUUGCGAUCAAAACAAAUGAAGAAAAAGAAGUUUGAAUGAAGCUAAUCCUAAUAGCGAAUACAGCCCCAGGGAAACAGGACGGUUUCAUGGAAAUAUCGUAGGGCAACCAAAAUAUAAAAAGAAUGAAAUUAGAGACUUUUCUCUGAGAUGUUGUAAAUUAAUUAAGAAGACCCGAGUGAGGAGGCAUAUUCUCCAGGGUUAGAAACAUCCACCAAAAAAGUAAAAAAUAAGUCAUUUUUAAAAUUGCAAAUAAACCUCACUUUAGAAUAUUAACAUUGAUUGCAUCCCGUUAUGUUACAUGGAAUUUCUAAAAGUUGUAAGUACCCGUGGGGAUACUCGACACUAAGACAGAUGUUAGGAGAUUGUGCAGAAUAUUUAGUUGGAACAUGUAAUUAGAAAAAAAUCUUGGAGUAUCAAAUUAACCAUGCAAGAUGUUAAAAAAAUUAAUUUGUAAUUUUAAAUUAUGUAGAGAACUAUUAGAAUGUCUAGAAGGAAAGUAGUUAGCUCUAUAAAUAGAGCCUCCUAGUUCCUUUGAUUAAGUGGAAUGAAUUAGAAAAAAACUCCUCAAAUUAAUCUCGACCCCAAACCAUUUUGGUAUCAUAGCAAAAAAAUCCCAAAUCCAUCAUUGUCAGAGAAAAAAAACUCUCCUACAUUCACCAUGGAAGCCAACUCCUCCGCUUCCAAUUAUGCACAACCUCUCAUCGCUAUUUUGAGGAGAGAUAUAAUAUUGGAGCAUUUAACAUUGUAAGACUUUUCAUCUCACCAAGACUUGUGGGAUCUUGUUGAAGCGGUACGAGGAAACCGUAAAAUGACGAAGCAGAAGCAACUUUGGACGGAAGCAAAGAAGAAGAAAUGGAAGGAGAACAGAAGAUAAGAUAUGCAUUGUCUCUACUAACAUUCAACGUGGGGUAGCAAAUCUAUCUUUCAAGAAUUUUGGGUGUAAACUUCAAGAAAGUAUGGGACCAUUAAAGUUGAAUAUCAAGGUUAUUAUAAGGCUUAUCCGCAAAAAUAACUUCAAACAUUCUGGACAGACCUUUGAUAAUCUAGUAUGACGGAACAUGAAUCCGUUCAAGUAUUCUUUCCCGAUUUUGCUGGAAUUGUCAUCAAUUCGAAGUUUGGGUGAUGAUACCCCUUAACGAUAAAGAAUGGUUGAAAUUUUUUUAAGAAGUUUGCCUCCAAGUUUGAGCAUAUUGUAGUCUCUUAUCGAAGAAUCCAAGGAUUUAUCUAAACUUACACUCGGACAUGAACUAUGAGUUCCCUCUCGAGGCACAUGAGCAGGUUCACAAAUUAAUCACUAGAGCAAGCAUUUCAAAGCAAAUCAAUUUUGGAGGAAAGAAACAAGAAAAUUCUGAAAAGGGCUCAUCUCGAGGAGGAGUCAUGAACGGAAAAGGAUGUGGAGGCCAAAAUGCAUUUCAAGCCCGGAACAAAGGAAAAGGAUACGACAAUCAAAGGAAUUCUAAUGGCGGUAACUCGAACUCUUCUUGCAUUAUUUACAAAAUAUUCAAUCAUGCAUCCAAAGAUUGCAGAUUUAAGUGCAAGAGAUGCAAAGUUCCUAAUCAUUCUUAUCGAGAUUGUUGGUUUAAUAAUGAGAAAAACAAAGCUAAUUUUCUGGAACAAAAUGAAGCAGAAUAAUUAUUCUCUUGCAUGAAUGCACAAGAAGAAUCAGAUAACAUUUGGUUCUUGGAUAGUGGAUGUAGUAAUCAUAUGUAGGUGAUCGUAAAAAGUUUGUGCAGCUUGAUGAUAAUGUCUCUUCAAAAGUAAAGCUAGGAGAUGAAAAGCUGCAAAAUGUUGAAGGAAAAUGAGUUAUCGCCGUCUACACAAAGGGAGGUAACAAAAUAAUUUCUGAUGUCCUUUAUGUUCCUGGGCUAACUCAAAAUUUAUUAAGUGUAGGCCAACUACUGCAAAAGGACUGUGCACUUAAAUUUGAUAAUGGAGAGUGCAUAAUUAUUGAAAAAAAGAAAAAAUUUAAAGUGGCCAAAGUAAAUAUAACUCCAAAUAAAAUUUUUUCUUUAAUGAUGCCACUUAAUGAAAAUUUUGCUCUUAAGGGAGAAAAAGUUGAGGACUCAUACAUGUGGCAUCUAAGAUAUGCCCACUUAAAUUACAAGCAUGAGAUUGCUAAAGGAGAAAAAUAUGGUGAAAGGGCUAGCAAAUAUUGAUAAAAUUGAUAAAGUUUGUGAAGGGUGUAUAUAUGGGAAGAUGCAUAGACUCUCAUUUCCAAAGUAUGCUUGGAGAGCUAAAGUGCCUUUAGAAUUGGUGCAAUUUGAUAUUUUUGGCCCUACAAGAACACCAUCUCUUGAAAGAAAAGAUAAUUUCUCUCCUUUUCGUUGAUGAUUAUAAAAGGAUGAUGUGGCUUUAUAUCCUUGACAAAAAUCUUCAAGUAGUUGCAAACCUCUUGGUGGAAAGACAAAGUGAAGACAAAUAAAGACACUUUGGACGGAUCGUAAACUCGGUGGCGAAUUCAUUUAUACUCCAUCCUGGAGUACUGCAAGAAAAAAGGAAUUAAGAGGAAACUUACAGUUCGGAAACACCUCAAUAAAUGGCAGUAGCAGAGCGCAAAAGAAUCGCAGAUUGCAGAGAUGGCUUGAUGAAGCCAUGCUCAAAGGCCAAGGCCUGCUACAAACACAUUCUGGGAUGAAGUGUCAACACUGUGUUUCACCUCAACUCGAUCUCCCAUAAGACAGUUCAAAACAAAACACCAUACAAGGCAUGCAUGGUUAUACAGAGAAACCAAAGGUAAAUUUUCUCAAGAUUGUUGGAUGGUAUUGCAUAGCAUUGUUUUCUCAGAAGAAAGGAAAAAAUUUGAUGAAAAAUGGGAGAAAUAUUUUUCAUAGGAUAUAGUGACGAAUCUAAAGGAUAUCGUCUCUACAAUCCAAACACAAAUAAAUUUAUGGUUUCUCGAGAUGUGAUAUUUGAUGAAGCUGCUACAUGGAAGUAGGUGGAUAAUUCCUUCCAAAAGCAAAAGUUUUUUGAGCCUCUUGAUGCAGGAAAUAGGCAAAAGACAUUGACUCCAACCCUAGUCCGAACCAAAGCCCACAAGCCGGUCCAAAAAGCUUGUCAUCAGAGGAUCUCAAUCCAACAAGAAAGGUACGUUCCUUGCGGGACAUAUAUGGCUCGUGUGAUUUUGCCUUCACUUGUAAACCACAUAACUUUGAAGAAACUGCAAAUGAAGAAAUGUGGAGAAAGACAAUGGACGAUGAAAUUGUAAUUAUCACGAAAAAUCACACAUGGGAUCUUGUGGAGUUAGCAAAAGGCAAAGAUGUAAUCGGGUUUAAAUGGGUCUAUAAGACAAAAUACAAAGAAGAUGGAUCAAUUCAAAAACACAAAGCAUCUUAGUGGCAAAGGCUACUUCACAACAACCUGGAGUGGAUUUCAAUGAAACAUUUGCCCCUGUUGCUCACAUGGAGGAAACAUCAGAACCAACUCUUCCUUGCGGCACAUUAAGAGCUUCCAGUUAUAUCAAGCUUGAAGUCAAAUCUACAUUUCUCAAUGCGAAUUAGAAGUUUAUGUGGAGCAACCGCCCAAGGCUACCACUAUCAACGAAAAAGAAGACAAAGUUGUUUACCGACUUCGGGGAAAAGCAUAUAUGGCUUGAAGCAAGCACCUCAAGCCUGGAAUAACAACAAUGACAAGUACUGCAUGUCAAAAUAGUCUUGAAGACAGCCGAAAGUGAACAAUCACUCUGUGUAAAAAAAGGAGGGCGGGUACGCAAGAUUUUGUAUCAUUGUUGCCUGUAUGUUAAUGAUUUAAUCUACAUAGGACCCAAUACUGCAAUACUGGAGGAAUUUUAAAAAAGACCAUGAUGGAGUAUGAGGAUGACUGAUCUCGGACUUAUGAAUAUUUUUCUCAGCAUCCAAGGCCCAUCCAAAGGAGAAAAGAGGGAAGAAAUUUUUAUCUCACAAGAAAAAUAUCUUGAAGAUUAUUUAAAGAAAUUUCGCACAGAGUAAACUACAAGCCAAUUUCUACCCACUCUCUCUAAAUGACAGUUACAGCUGAAUGAUGGAGCAGAAAAGAUCAAUGCCUACAGCCUUUAGAAAUUGGUGGUCCCUUAAACAUCUUACUCAGUACAAGGCCAAAUAUUGUAAAUUCUGUGAAUCUUAUUUCCAAGUAUGCACGAGCCGAGCAAGCUAAACUACAUUCCAUGAUAGCAAAUGAUUCUUCGUUUUUUUUUUUUUUUUUUUUUUAGUUAUCUUCAAGGGGACGAAGAAGAAACUCAGCAUCAGGAUAUACAAAAGCAAAUGACAGCAAACUUCACUGCUAAACCGAUGUGAUUGGGACUGGAUCAAUUGAAUGAAGUAGAAAGAGCACGUCUGGCCACCUAUUGCUAAGCUGGGGAGUCUAAUAUUAUCGCUGCGUGUCUAAAAGGCAAAAGACACUUCUCUAUCAUCACAGAAGCCCCCCAAACUAUAUAACAACUAUCGAUGGCAACAGGUGAGGCUAUAUGGCUUAGAAAAAUUCUUACAGGACGAUGAAGCAUAAAGAGCAAGCCCUACACUCAUUACUACGACCAAUAUGUCAGCCUAACAAUGAGCAAAAAUUAGUUUUCCACGGCAAAAUUAAAGCACAUUGAGACUUCGAACACAACUUUAUCAGAGACUUGGGUGCAGAAUGGAGAAAUUCAGCUUGAAUUUGUCAAUAUGAGGAGCAAUAGCGACAUAAGAGCCAAAGCAGUGACAUUAGAUAAAUUCUUCUCAGUUCUUGAAGUUAUGAAAAUUACAAAUUCGGGGAGGAGGGUUAAAAAAGUAAUUAUAAUUUUUCGAAUAUGUUAGAACUAUAUAGAAGGUCUAGAAGAAGAGUAAUGUUAGAAUUAUGUAGAACUAUCUAGAAUGUCUAGAAGAAAGUUAGCUCUAUAAAUAGAUCCUCCUAGUCUUCUUUUGUUUAAGUGAAAUGAAUUAGAAAAAAACUUUCCUUCAACUUUAAUCUAACACCCCAACAGUAUAGAACUCUUAUAUUAUGCAUGAAAUGCAUAGUGCACCUUGUAAGCAUCUCUAAUCCAAGAAAAUAGAAGAAAUAUACUAAGUAAUAUGAAUAUAUUGGCGUGUUCCCAUGUCCUUGAAAAGAAAAUUAGAUGAAUCUGACACUGGAAGACAUAUACCCGUAAACCGUACUGCACCCGCACCCGACACCAUGUAACAUAGAUCCUCCAGAUUAGAACAGAUUUGCAUCCUUGGAUUUAUGUCUAUACGCAUAAGGAAUUUUCCUUCCAAAACAUAUGUGAGAGGGAGUUAAUCCUGUUGUCAAAGAGAGUAGAAAAUGUAAGUUGCGAGUGUACACAAUGGCCAGCAUGUCCAUUACUUGAUCUUACUCCACCUCUUACAUCCUCUCAAUACCUAUUGAGAUAUAUUGCGGCUACUGGCCCUUACUCAUGCAGCCAGAGUUGUAAGUAUAUUCCUUGUCAUAAAUAAAAUGUAUCACUUCCUACUCUUUCCAUUCACGGCUUCAGUCUUCAUAUAAGUAUGCUAUUUACAAUACUAUAUGACAGCUCAUAAAGCAAACAUUCUAAAACAGCAAGCUAGGAAGUCCUCGAAAAGGUAGAUUAAUAUAUGUAAGCUAUAACUUUUUAUUCUAGGUUUAUAACACAAAGGAACACUGCUUUAGUUUUUUUACAGUAAAAAUCUUAAACAGGAAAAACAUAAAAUUAUAAAACAAAGUAGAUCUUUAAAUAGUAUAACAAACGGAAUUCUAAUAAAAAAUGCAACCUCAGACAGUCUAUUUCUGUCCCACGAGCACAACCCCGUGGCCUGCGGGCUAUAAAGCUUCUGGCCUAGCCAAAGCAGACUGAAAAAGAGUAAUAUUUCCAAAAUUAAAAAGUUGUUUCAGGAGAAAUAGCUACUUCAAACUUAAGCGCAUGAAAAAUGCAAUACCACCUGUCAUAAGCCACGUUCACCGUCCAAUUAUAUCAGAUUGGAUAAGUACUGGAAUUAUCUCUCAACACCGAAGAUUCCCAAUUUUGAACCUUCCUAUUUAAGAAGCCACAAAAAAUAAUUGUAUAUACUAAUGUUGAUUAGCAGGCAAGAGCCUUCAAUUUGUAAUAAUCGACGUCUUGAAAUGUAACAUGAGCCAAGGCAUAAAUGAAACCUGAUAUGGCCAUUCUUUGAAGGUUUCUAGCCCUUAAGCCCGCACAGCGGUCUCUUGCGGCACUGAAUCCUGACUCAAUCAAAGACGGAUGGGAUCAUUUGAAAAGGUCCAGUGGAAAAAUUAAUCCAGAGAAAUAUCAAUAAACAUGCAUAUGAAGGCAAACAAAAAACUGUAAUCUAGGAUUGUUAACGUGCUACAUAGAUAUUGAGAUAAACUUUGACGUGAAUCAUGACUCUCGUGCCACAAGGGCCAAUCAGAAGAGUAUAUAUAAGCAAGCCAAUGACACGUUGCACUUUGUAACUGGCUGUUUUAUGAAGUGAAGCCGACAAAGAAACUAUGUCAAUCCACAUGACGACAAUGAAAACCUGUUUAAAGACCCACAUUGGAGGAAUAAUAUCGAGAGUUGGCAGUAUAAAUCAACAAGCCAUGAGGUUACUUUUGGUCUGGGCGGCCACCAUAUACAAGUUUGUUCGGCCCCAGAAUCUUAUCGACUUGAGGGGUUAGCCCACCCGAGUACUUAAAAAGCCUUCUGAUAACCCAAUCGAAAUAUCUGUUCAGUCGAUUGGGGUCUAGGGAUUCCAUAGUUCAUAGCUAAUUCAAAAGUUCUCCCCCAAUGAUAAAGAAAGUCCUUGGGCUUCCAUAGUUCAUAACAUUCAAUAAAGUGAGGGACACUCAUGUGAAUUCAUAUGCUCUCAUCUGUCCAAUCAAUAUGUAUUUUAUUAUCUGCCAUGGGCAGUCAAAGCAGUGAUGAAGCAAGAAUUGUAAUCUCAGAAACAUACACUAUGAACUGACGUGCGUCUUUGCUUGAAAGAUGACUCAUAGAGCUGCAACACAGUGUUAGGUUGUAAACAAGGUUGGGUCGCUGAAAAAUAUUCCAUGGUUUGUUUUGAUUUCCCCGGAGAUCCUAAGAAAACUCUCGAGACUUUUUGGAGGUUUCGCAUGUAACUAAGGUUAAUAUCAUCACGGGAGGCUACUUGCAUUGCUUGAUUCAAAGAGAGAG
rnacentral:lncRNA from 1 species